AACGAACGCUGGCGGCAGGCCUAACACAUGCAAGUCGAGCGCCCCAGCAAUGGGGAGCGGCAGACGGGUGAGUAACGCGUGGGUAUCUACCUAGUGGUGCGGAAUAGCCCAGGGAAACUUGGAGUAAUACCGCAUAAGCCCGAAAGGGGAAAGAUUUAUCGCCAUUAGAUGAGCCCGCGUUGGAUUAGCUAGUUGGUGGGGUAACGGCCCACCAAGGCGACGAUCCAUAGCUGGUCUGAGAGGAUGAUCAGCCACACUGGGACUGAGACACGGCCCAGACUCCUACGGGAGGCAGCAGUGGGGAAUAUUGGACAAUGGGCGCAAGCCUGAUCCAGCCAUGCCGCGUGAGUGACGAAGGUCUUCGGAUUGUAAAGCUCUUUUGGCGGGGACGAUAAUGACGGUACCCGCAGAAUAAGCCCCGGCUAACUUCGUGCCAGCAGCCGCGGUAAU
rnacentral:rRNA from 1 species